rnacentral:snoRNA from 2 species
UUAGCACUUUCACAGGUCCACCCCUGGGCAGUGGGGCCAGGAUUUGGUAGCUGGUGCUGAGAGAAAACCUUGUUUGCAUCCUUGCCCUGGUAUUAUACCAUUGGCAGCUGUCAUUCAGUGGGACAGAC